GAGUUUGAUCCUAGCUCAGGAUGAACGCUGGCGGCGUGGAUAAGGCAUGCAAGUCGAGCGAGCCGUGCAGAGCACGGAAAUCCGAAAUUCUAAACACUAAACUCUAAACAAGUUCAAAAUUCCAAUAUUUCAAACUCUAAGCGAGACCCGUUUUGAGUCUGUGGUUUGGUUUUUGUAUUUUGUUUAGGAUUUAGAUAUUAGAGUUUAGAGUUUCCGCGCUCUGCGCGGUUAGCGGCAGACGAGGUAGUAAUAAGCAGGUAACGUACCAUAGAGUCAGGCAUAGCUCAUCGAAAGGUGAGGUAAUUCCUGAUAGCACCUUGUGCGAAGCACAGAGGAACAAAGCACAAAACACAGACAUACACAAAAAACCAAACAAAACACAAAAAAUUCAAACCACACAAACACUUCUUCGUUUGUGCUUUGAGAGCAUGUGCUUUGUUUGGACUUUGUGCACUGUGCUUUGGAGGAGUUUGUUUUUCCGCGUUUCGCGCGAGGUUAAAGUCGCAAGACGCUCUUUGAACGGCCUGCUCGGUAUCAGCUAGUUGGCAGGGUAAAAGCCUACCAAGGCUAUGACGCCUAGGGGACCUGAGAGGGUGACCCCCACCGAUGGAACUGAGAAACGGUCCAUACACCUACGGGUGGCUGCAGCCGAGAAUAUUCGACAAUGGGCGAAAGCCUGAUCGAGCGACGCCGCGUGGAGGAUGAAGUGCUUCGGCAUGUAAACUCCUUUUGUAGACUAGAAAGUUUAUUGAUCAGUCUAAGAAUAAGAGGUUACUAAACUCGUGAACCGUUCGGAUUAAGCUCCGAACAUUCC
rnacentral:ncRNA from 1 species